rnacentral:rRNA from 1 species
GACGUAGGGCGCGAGCGUUGUCCGGAUUUAUUGGGCGUAAAGAGCUCGUAGGCGGCUUGUCGCGUCGACCGUGAAAACUUGGGGCUCAACCCCAGGCUUGCGGUCGAUACGGGCAGGCUAGAGUUCGGUAGGGGAGACUGGAAUUCCUGGUGUAGCGGUGAAAUGCGCAGAUAUCAGGAGGAACACCGAUGGCGAAGGCAGGUCUCUGGGCCGAUACUGACGCUGAGGAGCGAAAGCGUGGGGAGCGAACGGG